UACGGAGGGUGCAAGCGUUAAUCGGAAUUACUGGGCGUAAAGCGCACGUAGGCGGAUUGUUAAGUCGGGGGUGAAAUCCUAGAGCUCAACUCCAGAACUGCCUUCGAAACUGGCGAUCUUGAGUCCGGGAGAGGUGAGUGGAACUGCGAGUGUAGAGGUGAAAUUCGUAGAUAUUCGCAAGAACACCAGUGGCGAAGGCGGCUCACUGGCCCGGUACUGACGCUGAGGUGCGAAAGCGUGGGGAGCAAACAGG
rnacentral:rRNA from 1 species